ACUGGCGCCGCGCGUGAGAAGGGGCUCCCGGUGGCUUUGCUUUUAUGAAAUAGUUCGGGCCGCCUGCUCUUUGUUGCUGAAAGAGUUUCUGAUGUUGUGUCUAAGGCAUGGUUUUGUGUUUGCACAUGAGAGGUUUUAUUCGGCUCCAGCUGUAGUAUAAGCACCCUUUGGGCAGAGAGUAUAGCCCUUUAUGGCUAUUUUACGAAGCAGUUUGUGGGCUUGGUGUUACGUCUGUCAGAACAAAAGACGUUAGCAUAAAUGCUAAGCCUGCUUGGAAGAGGUUUAAGUGAAUUGGGGCAAGGACAGCUGAGCCCCAGUUAUACACCAGCAAUUGAGCCACACCAGCAUAAAUACAGCAGAGAGAAAAUUUAACAAAAACUUACAAGUCAGCAUUAUCUCUUAGGCUUUAGAGAGCAAUUCACUGAAAACUAAAUGUCAGUUGGGGCCAGGUGCUGAGCUGGGGUUAGAUGGGGAGCGAAGUGCAACCUUUGCAUGGUCUCUGGAUACUUUGCUGCGCAGUGCUAGUGAGUAAUAUCAAUUACUGCUGGAAAACAGAAAUUGGCAGUUAUAAAAAUACAGCUAAGUUUGAGGGAAGGAGCAAGGAAUCAUUUUCCAGGGAAGGAAGACAGGCCAUGUGGUUAGACUCUGAAGUCUCCUUCAGGAGAGCACAAUCAGUUCCUGAGACCUCCCAAGAGUUGCUUAGGGAGAUUCAUCUGGAGGACUAAGAAAGUGGAGCCAGUGAAGUUGUAUUGACUCUGCUGAUACCAUCCUCCUAAAUGAAAUGGUGGAAGAACAAGGCCUGUCUGUGAGAUGGAGUCAGGACCUACUUUCUCUACCUACAAGGUUUUUGUGGCAAUUAGAGGGAGCAAGUUAAAGGGUCAUGGUUUCUACAGAAAAUGGUGGGGGUGUUCUAUCUGAACACAACACGCUAAAACCUUUUUUAGGGCUGUCAUGUUGCCUGUUGUUGCAUUUGUGCUUUGAAUGUUGUCUCACCUGUGUGCGUUUGUUCUCAGCCCCGUAGGUUCCUUUGUUCCUGGCUCUAGGACUGAGUGACGAGGGACGCUGGACAUGAUGAAGGAAUACGGUAUUUCUGUUGCUGCCUUAGCAGUGCUGUAUACAGUCUCGAGCAAUGGCCACAUUCUCCUCAGCAGGCCACUCCGUACCCAGCCAUCAGGCUUGCGGUGUGCAGCAGAUUCAUCAAGUUGGCAGUGUAAUGACUGAGGUUUGGUACCUGUUGCAGAGUCCCACUCCUACAGUGUCAGAGCAUCUCACAGUUGGCUCGGUGAAUCCGUCCUUGCAGCACUCCUAAGAAAUGGUUCUGAAGUCCUGGGGACCCCCAGGAGAGUUCACCAGCUGGAAAAUCUUUUGGACCGAGUUCGUGUAACAUCUGAGGCAAACAGCUAAUCCAAGUGCCAGAAUAUGGGUGUUUUUCUCUACCUGUAAAGAAGAGCAGGAACGUGAUUCAGCAGAUAAAGGUAAAACCUGCUUCAUUGGGUGGAAGCUGGACCUUGAAUCAAGGCAUACAUUUUUAAUCAAAUAAAAUCAGGCUCUAAAACAA